UACAGAGGUCUCAAGCGUUGUUCGGAUUCAUUGGGCGUAAAGGGUGCGUAGGCGGCGUGGUAAGUCGGAUGUGAAAUCUCGGAGCUUAACUCCGAAACUGCAUUCGAUACUGCCGUGCUCGAGCACUGUAGAGGCAGGCGGAAUUCCGGGUGUAGCGGUGGAAUGCGUAGAGAUCCGGAAGAACACCGGUGGCGAAGGCGGCCUGCUGGGCAGUUGCUGACACUGAGGCGCGACAGCGUGGGGAGCAAACAGG
rnacentral:rRNA from 1 species